rnacentral:rRNA from 1 species
UUCCUACGGGAGGCAGCAGUAGGGAAUCUUCCGCAAUGGACGAAAGUCUGACGGAGCAACGCCGCGUGAGUGAUGAAGGUUUUCGGAUCGUAAAGCUCUGUUGUUAGGGAAGAACAAGUGCCGUUCAAAUAGGGCGGCGCCUUGACGGUACCUAACCAGAAAGCCACGGCUAACUACGUGCCAGCAGCCGCGGUAAUACGUAGGUGGCAAGCGUUGUCCGGAAUUAUUGGGCGUAAAGGGCUCGCAGGCGGUUUCUUAAGUCUGAUGUGAAAGCCCCCGGCUCAACCGGGGAGGGUCAUUGGAAACUGGGGAACUUGAGUGCAGAAGAGGAGAGUGGAAUUCCACGUGUAGCGGUGAAAUGCGUAGAGAUGUGGAGGAACACCAGUGGCGAAGGCGACUCUCUGGUCUGUAACUGACGCUGAGGAGCGAAAGCGUGGGGAGCGAACAGGAUUAGAUACCCUGGUAGUCCA